AUCCUACUCCCUCCGUUCGGAAUUACUUGUCUUCAAAAUGGAUGUAUCUAGAACUAAAAUACAUCUAGGUACAUCCAUUUCAAUGACAACUAUUUCCGAACGGAGGGAGUACAUA
rnacentral:pre_miRNA from 1 species